GCGAGAGAAGGGACUUGAUGAGCAUAGAUGGUGAUGGGUUGUUAUUGGUGUUUGUGUCUGUGUUUUUGUUUGUUUCUCUGGUGUUGAUUGUCAUGGGAGAUGGGGAAAAAGAGGGUUGGAAUAACCCAUUUACUGAGAGUACGUGAGAUUGGGAGACUAGUAAACUUUUGAGAUCACUUUCUCGUUGGUGAAUCAGAAAAGGAUUUUGGAGGACCUCGGUUGGAGCCUGAGCUUGACAUUCUAAUAUGGUAGAUUGGGCUUCAAGCAAUGAAGGCAA
rnacentral:misc_RNA from 1 species